UGGGGGCGGAUCUCAGCAAGCCGGCCAACAAAUCGGGGCAGGCGGCCUCGUGGGCGGCCGGCUUGCGGAGACUCGGAGCGUUGGACGGCGCGCCUCUUCUGCGAUGGGUACCACCUUCUGUUGGCUGGGACGCCGAUCUCACAUUCUGUGCUGGAGACAAAAAGACGUGGCGAAGGCUUGGAGGUUAAUCUCCUGGAGCAGAGAAUGGAGGCAGCCAAGGAAGAUGCUGUUGAACCAGUUAGGAGGCUGUUGCAGCUAUCCCAGCAAGAUUUGAUGAUAAUGUGGACUUGAGAGGUGGCAGAGCAGUUGCCCAAAGCUGGAUGACUUUCAGAGGUUAUCCAGUUUUGAAGAACGCAGCCUAGGGAGCUGCAGGUGGGAAUCAAAUUAGCAUAAUUUAGACACGGCCGGUCAAAGUAUACUUAUGCUGCAGCUAGAACCAGAUAUCCAAACCAAACCAAACCACGCCAAGCCAAGAGCACUUCUGGAGCGGAUCCACUAAUUUUUCCUUAUUAUCGAGCGUCCUCGAAACCAAGAUCCUCACAGUGAAGGCCAGACCAAGGCUUCCUUUGUCAGAAGUCACGGAGGGCGUCCCCUGUCAAACCAAGGCUUUCUUUCAGAAAUCAGAGUUAAAGGAAGAAGAAAUAAGAAUGUAGUCACUUGUACUGAAGUUACUCACCAAAAAGACGUCUUCCAAACCAAGAAACCAUCUCUCUACUGCAAAGUGAGGAUAUGCACCAAGGAGUCCGCAGCGUCAAGCCAGGAAAGAAUCCCGGAACAGUCCCGGGAGGAACGCUCCCAGCAGCUGUUGGACUCUUCCACAGGCUCUGCACUCUGGCAAGGGGCUGACGAAUCUCAGGCAAAAAGGUCCAUCUGGACUUAGCUCCUGGCUCACUCACCAUUUCUUACCAAACCAGGUUCAUUUUUGCCCACCGCCCAGAAAGCCAAACACCAAGAUGACGAGAUUGCAGCAG